AUUGAACGCUGGCGGCAUGCUUUACACAUGCAAGUCGAACGGUAACAGGGAGCUUGCUCCGCUGACGAGUGGCGAACGGGCGAGUAAUAUAUCGGAACGUACCCAAGAGUGGGGGAUAACGUAGCGAAAGUUACGCUAAUACCGCAUACGAUCUACGGAUGAAAGUGGGGGAUCGCAAGACCUAAUGCUCCUGGAGCGGCCGAUAUCUGAUUAGCUAGUUGGUGAGGUAAAGGCUCACCAAGGCGACGAUCAGUAGCUGGUCUGAGAGGACGACCAGCCACACUGGAACUGAGACACGGUCCAGACUCCUACGGGAGGCAGCAGUGGGGAAUUUUGGACAAUGGGCGCAAGCCUGAUCCAGCAAUGCCGCGUGAGUGAAGAAGGCCUUCGGGUUGUAAAGCUCUUUUGUCAGGGAAGAAACGGGAGUGGCUAAUAUCCAUUCCUAAUGACGGUACCUGAAGAAUAAGCACCGGCUAACUACGUGCCAGCAGCCGCAGUAA
rnacentral:rRNA from 1 species